rnacentral:lncRNA from 1 species
CACAAAUAAACCACAAGAUGAGGCUAGGUCAGCGGAACCUUCGUCUUCGCCACCCAAGGAUGCUUAAAGUCCUCCUAGAUAAUACUCAGUGGAUGGCUUGUCGUAGUGUAUCAUGUUGUUUGGAUCUGAAAUUUAAAUAUGUGUAUUUCUAUCUAUAUCUAAACUUUUAGCAUUAUUUGCACUACAAAGUUUGACAUACUUUCAAUCGUG